UCUGUGAGCUCUGGAAGGUCCCAGCUCCUGGGAGAAGCGUCCUGGAGAGCAGGAGCAGCAGGAUGCUCACCUGGAGUUUGGGUCCCUGCAGCCUCUGGGAGCUCUCCUGCCACAGAAAUGCUUUUCCAGAAGCCUGGAAUUCCCACUCUGAUGCGUUUUGUGCGAGGAUUGCUGUGCUGGGAAAUGCCUGAGGGAAUUUUGGAGAGAUCUCUGUCCUGGAUCUGUGCAGAGCCAGGAGCUGGACUGGAUGACCCUAAGAUAUGUGUGUUUCUUCAAGGGAAUAACAUACUACAAGAAUGCUGUGGGUGAAGGACGCGAGAUGCUGCCUGAGGAGGGUCCUGCAGGGACAGACAGACAGACAGACAGACAGACAGACAGGCUGUCCCUCCUGGAAUUCCUUUAGAGGCCGCCUUGUGCUGACCACCAGACCUUCCCCAGUGAUGCCAAAUUCCCUUGGAAAAGGACACCCCCAUCUGUUUGAUGCUGUGGGAUGCGGGAUGGCAGGAACGCGCCAGCCUCUCUCUUGUUGCACUUCUCAUUUCCUACAACCCUGCCUGGAAAGUUGGCUCUGGGCUUCUCCACACUGGGAAGGUUCCAGAGAAAGCUGUCCCAGGAUGUUUCCUCUCCUGCUGCCAUGGCCAAGGCUGCUCCUCCCAGCCUCCCACGUCUGCGGCGCAUUCCUCCGCCUGGGGAUCUCCGCCUUGCUAUCUAAGGAGCUGAAGGAUAUUUCCAGGCCAGCCCUGCCAGAAAAUAUUGGCAUGCACCUCCAUCUCCUGUCCUCCUGCACACACAUCCAGCUCCUCGAGCGCUCUGAUUCCCUGCCACGGUUAAACAGCCAUCACUGACAGGCAGCUCUCCAUCCAGCAGGUUAUUUUCUUUCCUGGCUGGAGGGUUUUUUCCCCUUUCCCAAGCCCCAGCUGGUUGCUGCACUUUCCUCUCCUGGUGACUGGGUUGGACUCUCUUCCUGCUGAGUGUCCACGCUGAGAUUUACCUGCAAGGCUGUGCCUGGCAUCAACUUCAACCCACCUUUGUGGAUAAUCACAGAAUCAAGGAACGGUUUAGAAGGAACCUUAAAGAUCAGCUGGUUCCAACCCUGCUGCCAUGGACAGGGUGCCACACGAAGCUGGAAUGGAGCUGUUGCAGAUCCAGCAUCCCCCAGUUCAAGCAAAAGGUUUUUUCUGGCCAGAGAAGGUGGGAGAGCCCUGCUGGCACAGAGUGGGCACAGUGACCACCCAGGACUCCUUUUCCUGGCUUUGAAAACCCUCUGAUGGUGGGGUGACUCCUUCACUCCCUCCCAUCCGAACAGCCUCCCCAAAGAGCCACUCUGAGUCUUUCUCCAGGUGAUUUCUCCAUUGCUCUUUGCCCAUCCCUUGUGGAAAGGCAGAACACGGCAUUUCCUCCCUCUUCCAUCCCUCCCUCCCUACACAAACCCUCUUUUAUCUACCUCAAGAUGUUAUCACCCUUCUUUCUUUCUCCAGGGUAAACAACCUGAAUUCUUUCAACCUUUCCUGCUCUUGUCCCACCAGGAUCUCUUCCUCUCCACUCUCUUGUCCUUUCUCCUCUCCUCCUCCUCCUCCUCCUCCAGCCUUGAAGCUCCCACAGCAGGGGUGGGAUUUGUCCCAAGGGUGUGAUUUUUAGGACAGGUGUGAUUUAUGGAGCCUUGCAGAGCUCCCUGCCCCUUGCCCCAAGCCCCUCAUUCCCGAGGCUUUGGGUGUUCCUGGGAUCAGGCAAUGGCAACAUUGCCCCUGGGGUUUCUGCUGCCUCUCCUUCCUUCUGCCUGGGCCUGGGGCAGUGAGCCCCAUCCUGAGGGAGCUCCAGGCCUCGUGGAUCCUUCUCAGGAUGCCACAGGAAAGGGAGCUGGGGGAUUUGGGGGGAUAAUUGGUCCCAAAGUGUGUCCCACCUGUUCUCUCCAUUCCUUGUUUCACAGGGAAUGUGGGGCUGCACCAGGGGCACCACAGCACCCUUGGCUGCAGGUACCCUGUGUCUUCCAGGAGCUCCCAAGUCACCUCCAUUCCAUGGGAUUUGGGGCAUUCCCAACACAACUUCCCUUCCCAGCCAGCUGGGAGCCCACCUCCCUUUCCUGGGGGAGCUGCUGAUCUCUUCAGAGCGCUCUGCUCGGAGAUGGAGUUCAUCCCAGCCAGCUGAUUCAAUAACUCUGGGCUGAUUAAAGCACUCUGCCCUGCUCUGGCUCUAUUUUUCCAGCUCUAACUGCAUUACCAGCCUGCUCCAUCCCAUCCUUCCGCUGGAGGCUGGAAAAGCACAAAGCCAUGCAGCUGUCUGGGCAUCAUCCAUCUCCCCUUCCCCCAAACAACAGGUUCCCAAUUUGCUGCAGCUUCUCAGGGCAUCCCAGGUGUCUGAGGGGCAAAUAAAAGGUAACAACCC